UACGAAGGGUGCAAGCGUUACUCGGAAUUACUGGGCGUAAAGCGUGCGUAGGCGGUUGGUUAAGUCUGAUGUGAAAUCCCCGGGCUCAACCUGGGAAUGGCAUUGGAAACUGGUCAGCUAGAGUACGGUAGAGGGUGGUGGAAUUCCCGGUGUAGCAGUGAAAUGCGUAGAGAUCGGGAGGAACAUCUGUGGCGAAGGCGGCCACCUGGACCAGUACUGACGCUGAGGCACGAAAGCGUGGGGAGCAAACAGG
rnacentral:rRNA from 1 species